GCCUCCUUAGCUCAGUGGUAGAGCGCGUCACUAGUAUUCUUGAACCGCCUCUGUGCGUUCGGGAUGGCCAUGACGAGGUCAGUCGUUCAAAUCGGCUAGGAGGCA
rnacentral:tRNA from 2 species